rnacentral:lncRNA from 1 species
AUCGAAUCGCGGAAACCUCCAAAAAUCCUUUUGUUUCAAAGGCCUCUGAUGCUUCGAUUUGGGAUAAAGUGCAGGAGGAACACAGGAACUGCAGGACCCACUAAAAGCACGUUGCUUUCGAGGUCAAGCACCCUAUCACUCUCCGUUUUCUUGGUCUUUCGAUAUAUUGAUUAUUCAACUGGUUUUAACCGUCCCGGCCGUCGUACAGCUUUGUUCCUGACCACGCUGCAACUGUACACCGUGUUCGCCGACUGGAAGUCUAGAUUCGGUUUUGUGGUGGAGGUUGCGGGUGAACCAAACUGUGGAGUGGUGCGUUAUUUCACCUCGGAGUCUUCGAUUUAGCUUGCAGUUACUUCGUUGUGUGGGUUACGCUGCUUUGUGUAGCUCCGUGUUGCUGUUGAAGAGAGUUUUCGUCGCGGCUGCUGCUCGGUUGUCGUCGUAUCGGUUGGUGGUGCCCUCGUGUUAGAUCGUCUUCAUUAGCGCUGGUAAAAAUUUAUCCCGCAGUGCAGUCCCCUCAUUGUGGGCAUGGAUGGUUUGGUGUAGUUGCUAACUUCUCGUUCUCUCUGAACGUGGUGAUACUUGUUUCUGAUAAUUCAGUUGACGGAAAUUUUCUUGAGAUUAUUUAAAAGGGCAGAUGUGCCCAGUUUUUGUUUUUGCCGGACGAUGACUUCAGGGAUGGUUUAAGACCUAAAUGGAUGGUUUACUUUGGAUUAGAUUGUUAGUAACCUGAAGAGAAUUGAAGACCUCCGCUCUCUGUGGUUGCCUAUUACCUGCAGAAGGCAAGGUUGGGGAGCGGAUGAGAAUGAACUUUAUCAAUUCUUGAUACUUGAGAAUGUUCAGUGUACCUAUUCGCUGUUAUAAAUGCUUCAGAGUCAAAUGGGUUGCCGUAAGCGUGAUGAAGUUUACAACGUUCUGCUCCUAGGUCAGCAAUGUGUCUGUCAUCCUGGAAAGUACUUGGAAGGUCCCCCUAGCAGUACAGCACAGCUUUACGAACACUGUAGUAACUACUUCGCACGGUGAUGGUCAUGAUGUCGCAGUUUUUCUGUAGUUUUUUUAAGAACCGAAGAUGUCGGACAUUGCGAAACAUCAGAAAGGUCCCACAAAGGGCUCAAUCUAUGACACUAGUACCAAGUGUAUGUUUGCACUAUCGAAGUACACGUCUGCAUGUGAGGAUCUGCCUACAAUCCACUGGACAACGUGUAGAAAAUCACUAUAAUCUUAAAAGCGUAACCUCUUACUUUCGUUCUGUUGCUGCUCUUCCAAAAUGGCUUCUCUGUUUGUCACUCUUGAUACUCUACCAGGAGCGCAUUAAGUAUGCAAGAGUCAUUUUAAAACGUGGGGCUUUCUCAUUCCAAUAGUGAAAUAGGUUAAAUCCCCCCCCCCCCAAGAAUAUCAGUUGGACGAGCUUUUCGUGCAGUUGCAGGUUUUGGUUUGGGAGCGAGGCAUUAAUGACAAGGCAGCAACGUGUUAAAUGUCUAUUUUCAAUAUACAACUAAAGCAACUAACUCGAGUUGAACCAGUUCCCUCCUAACCGUGCAACGUCACUUCGAGUGCACGAAUGGGUCGCAAUGUCCCCUUCAACUGAAUAAAAUAAGUUGAUAACUUGAGGAAGCAAGUGCAACCUUCCAAUGCUUCUCCUGAGAUAAUAUCGGAAAAGUAAAAGAAAAGACUCUUAUGCUGCAUUGAAAAACUUAUCAGAUGUGAUUGCUACGAUUUAGAAAUAAGUUUAGUUCAUCUUAACUUGCGGGGCAAAUGUCUUUAGGAGGUUGUUGAUUUUAUAUGAUGUGUUUUGAUUGAACCAUUUAUGAACAGAAAGCUGAAUGGUAUUGUAGCAGUCAUUUCUGGCAUCUGAAAUUGUCUGCUAUGUGUUCAGCAAAUCAUGUUGAUAUGAUUAAAGCCAUCCUAGCGUCGUCUGACGUAAGCUGGAGUGACCUAAAUGAAAGAGUGGAACCAACCUGGCAAAGCUGACGGUUUAGGGCAUGUUUUGAUCAAUGAGGUGCCAUAGCCACCAGAGCACAAGAUGAACCUGACAAAGUGCUCGAGUGUCCAAGCUCUAGAGAUAUUAAAGUGGGAGAAUCUGAACAAUGAUUCAAAGUGCUUACAGGAGAUACGAAGACAGAACGACAUGCGAUGAUCCAGUUUGUUCAGUUCG